rnacentral:lncRNA from 1 species
GCAUACAAAAAGCUCCCAUCAGUUUGUCCAAAGGAUGGACGGGUAGUCUUGUGUGCCAGAGCCUGCAUUCCUUCUCUGCUUGCCUGGAGUCACAACAGCCAACGCGGAGUCACACUGAGAUUGCCAUGUGGUCUCUGAUCAUCCUCAGCUCAGAGCUCCAGAGAGCCACCCAGGAUGGGAAAUGUUUAUCUGGUCCACAAGUGUAACUGUGAGCUUGGCACAUCACGGCUAUUCACACACGGGUCACGGUUGCUGCAAGAACAAUUUCUCUUACCAGCUUCCACCCUGGCAUGUAAAAACAGUCCUGAUUACUGCUUGGAAACUCUGCUGAAGGCAAGAUUUUUCUCUGCCCAAGGAUUACUCCUGUCUGUGCUCCUAUCUUCAGAGGAUGAACUGGACGCGGUGUGCCAUAGCUGCAAGAAGCAGGAGGGUGCACGAAGUAUGAAGUGUAUGAGAUGUUAUGGCUCUAUUUUCUUGGCAGAUGGAAAGAAGCCUGGGCCUGACUCCACAAAUUCUUCUUGUGGAGAUGAUGAGACUUCUGUGACCCCACUAUUGCUCCUUCACACCAGCCUCUGCCCACUCCAGGCUCUGCAGAAACCUGUGUGGCCAACUCCAGCCCCUUGGUAUUGGUGA